rnacentral:lncRNA from 1 species
CACAUUAUAAUAUCUACGCACAUGCACACAUAAAAGGUUGGUCACUAGGCUGCCUCUAGUAGCAUUGUAGCAACGAGACUACCUCUUCUGUUUUUUUUUUUUUUUAUUUCUUUCAUAAGUAUCUGUUUUUUACUAUGCAAAUGGAAGAAAAUAAUAAUAAUUGAAUUGUUGGCCGCCUAACCACAGUUGUAUAGUAUUUGUGGGAACUGAUGUUUUGGUGAUCGUCAAAUAGACGGCUACAAACGAAGGCAUCAUCCAAAAUAUAAAGUUGAUAGUCGGUUCUAACGCCCCCCACACCAAAGAAUGAGAAUAUUCGGUUUUGGAUUUUUCAAUACUUUUUUCGGGCCUCCUUAUCACGAAUGUAGGGACUCAGAUCAAACAAGCUUUAGAUAUGCCAUCUGUAUGUGGAAUAAUCAUCUACAAACUGUGAAAUUUGAAGUGUUAUAUCAAUAUGCUAUCUAUAGAGUUCGCCUAAAAAAUACCUGUGGAAUUAACCACAAC